rnacentral:rRNA from 1 species
UACAGAGGUCUCAAGCGUUGUUCGGAUUCAUUGGGCGUAAAGGGUGCGUAGGCGGCGCGGUAAGUCGGGUGUGAAAUCUCGGAGCUUAACUCCGAAACUGCAUUCGAUACUGCCGUGCUUGAGGACUGGAGAGGAGACUGGAAUUUACGGUGUAGCGGUGAAAUGCGUAGAUAUCGUAAGGAAGACCAGUGGCGAAGGCGGGUCUCUGGACAGUUCCUGACGCUGAAGAACGAAAGCUAGGGGAGCAAACAGG